rnacentral:snRNA from 1 species
CGUCCAAGGCUAAAUACGGGCGA